AAUACAUGCAAGUCGAACGGUAAGGCCGCCUGUAGCAAUACGAGGGGGUACACGAGUGGCGCACGGGUGCGUAACGCGUAUGCAACCUGCCCCCAACCGGGACAAAACAGCUGGAAACGGCUGCUAAUAUCCCAUGGUCACUCGGGAGGGCAUCCUCCUGGGUGUAAAGAUUCAUUGGUUGGGGAUGGGCAUGCGUAUUAUUAGGUAGUUGGCGGGGUAACGGCCCACCAAGCCGACGAUGAUUAGGGGUCCUGAGAGGGUUAUCCCCCACACUGGAACUGAGACACGGUCCAGACUCCUACGGGAGGCAGCAGUAGGGAAUAUUGGGCAAUGGGAGCAAUCCUGACCCAGCCAUGCCGCGUGAAGGAAGACGGUCCUAUGGAUUGUAAACUUCUUUUGCCGCAGAGUAACCGCGGGGACGAGUCCCCGCCUGAGAGUAUGCGGCGAAUAAGUAUCGGCUAACUCCGUGCCAGCAGCGGC
rnacentral:rRNA from 1 species